GAUGAACGCUAGCGGCAGGCUUAAUACAUGCAAGUCGAACGGUAAGUUUGGUAGCAAUAUCAAACCAAGAGUGACGUACGGGUGCGUAACACGUAUGCAACCUACCUUGUACAGGAGUAUAGCUCGGGGAAACUCGAAUUAACCCUCCAUGAGAUCAUAGAAUGGCAUCAUUUAGUGAUUAAAACUCAGGUGGUACAAGAUGGGCAUGCGUCUGAUUAGAGUUGGCGGGGUAAUGGCCCACCAAGACGAUGAUCAGUAGGGGACCUGAGAGGGUGAUCCCCCACACUGGCACUGAGAUACGGG
rnacentral:rRNA from 1 species